CUCUCUCCUGGGGCAGGCCAAUCAUCUAACUGUACCAAGAAGAAAGGACAGUAGCUGAGAGUUACAGGUGUUAAAACGUUAAGAACCCACUGGAUCAAGUUAGUGCUGCCUGUUGGAAGGCUGACUGAUCUUGGAGACUUGGCCUCUUGCGGGUAACCACAGCCACUGUGACCUCGUGAGUGCAAUGGCCACAUCAUAUCCCAAAGACAACGUAUUUAGCUCUCCUCCCAUCCUCCGGAUCUUAGAGUCUUGCCACCUCCCUGCCAAGAUGCUCUCUGAAUCUUGGGAAGAGGUGUGGUGGGUACAGAUGUCAUUUUUGGGCUGAGCAUUCCAUGUACAUUUAUUUUCAGCGCUUUAUGAGUCUCUGGCAUUAACUGCCGACUACUCCAGAGAGAAGCUUCUAUGCCAAGACUGAGGCCAGCACUUACCUGUGGGUCUAAGCAUAAAUGUUUGGAAGGAAGUCUGACAACAUGUAGUUCAGCAAAACAACAGUAGCAUGUUUUGGAACUAUGGACUUUUGACCAAGUUUAGAGUAUCAGGCCUGAAUUCCUCCCUGUGGAGCAGGCUCCAAGUCCUGUGCGAAAGCAGUUGGUCACCCCCGUAGCCUUUAUGCCAUGAUUGCACCGCUGUACAUAUGUCAUUGUGAUGGUUAUGAAAUAGACACAGUGUGGAUGUGAUGGGUUUAAAACUCCUACUUUUGGCAACUCACACACAUUUAUAAUUUUGUUGUUGCUGUUUUUUUUUUUUUUUUUUUUUUUUUUGAGACAGGGUUUCUCUGUGGAGCCUUGGCUGUCCUGAACUUGCUUUGUAGACCAGGCUGGCCUGGAACUCACAGAGAUCCACCUGCUUCUGCCUCCCUGAGUGCUGGGAUUACAAGUGUGUACCACCACACCUGGAAUACUUCAGCUUUUUGUGUUGGAGGGGGUGGAUUUGCCUCCUAGCAUUUAAGUUUCCUCUUUUUCAGCACAGCCUGGGCUCAAACUCACAAUGACUCCGAGGAUGGAUGGCCUUAAGCUUCUUAUCCUUCUGCCUUCACCUUGGAGUUCGGGGUCAUAGGCAUGCUUCACCAUGCUCAGAUCAUGUGAUGCUGGGAAGCAGGCUUUCUACAUGCUAGGCAAGCACUCUCCCCACCGAGCUGCAGCCCCAGCCUGUGUAAGUUUCCUUACGGGCUCACAGACAUCCCAGCCAUCAGACUGACUGUCACCAGCUCACAGACAUCCUGGCCAUCAGACUGUCAUCAGCAGCAAUACCACAGAAACGACACAAAAUUAGUGAGUUUAUUGAUCAAGAAAAAUACAGACAGACUUGAGGAAAUCCAAGUUUGGAUAGUAAGAGAAAAUCCAACCAGUGUUUGGCACAUGUCUGGGAUCCCAGUGCUCAGAAGGCUGAUGCAGGGGGUUGAUGCAAAUUCAAAGCCAGCGGAGUGAUAAUAGCUAGUAAUGGGAAGCCAGGGCCUCUCUCCAAACAAAAUCAAACGACCAAAACCAAGAGAGGGUUGCUCCUUCAAGCCUUAGCAUAGCUGUAUAAAUGAUGUGAGGCUUUUGAAGCAAGCUCUUUCUGCGAUCAUCUAAAACUAAGGCUGCAGGAGAGGAAAAAAUGUUCGGCUUUCCCAUUUCCUUAUUGAAAGACGCUUGUCUUUAAGGUCAGGAUUUAGGUGUGGCUGGCAGCUUCUGGGGUAUCCCCCAACAAGACAGGAAUGCCCGUGGGUGGGCAGCAGGCCUCCAGAUGGACCACUCAGGAGAAGCUCUCAGGGAUUAGUGUCCUCUCUAUUGUAUGUGAACAACUUCGUAUAUCAAUUGGGAUGACUGACACAUUGCCUCCGAUUGGACAGAGCUUAUACCUCCAGGGUCUCUAUGCGGAAGAAGAGCAUAAAAGGAAAACGCAGACUUCAGUGGGCCAGCUACUGGCUACUCACACUGCUCCAGAGUUCAGGGUGCUGACGUGUGGGAGUACUUAGGAACACAGUGAGAGAUGCUUCUUAUUUAGAGACACAGUGUGUUGGGUCAGCUGUCUCCAGUGCAUGCCUGCAUUCUCUGCUACAGUUGGGAUCUCACGUCGUCUUCUACCUUGCAGAGUAGCUGAGGAUGAUCUUGAAUUUCUGACUGUUCUGCUUCUGCGCCAUGUCCUGAGCCGGGGAAUACAGGCAUGUGCUACCUGCUCAGGUUCUGUGGUGCUGGGGCUUACACCCAGGGCUUGGUGCCUUCCAGACAAGCACACUAUCUCCUCAGCCCAAGAAUUCCCUAAUAAAUAAAGAGUUAUAGAGUUACUUUUGCGGGUACUGGCUGUGGAAAGGUGCUGCUUACUGACUUGUUCCUCAUGGCUUGCUCAGCCUGCUGUCUUAUAGAACCUAGGACCAGCAACCCAGGGAUGGCCCCACCCACAGCGUGCUGGCUCCUCCCCCAUUGAUCACUAAUUAAGAAAAUACCUUACAGCUGGAUCUUAUGGAGGCAUUUUCUCAACUGAGGCUCCCUCCUUUCAAAUGACUCUAGCUUGCUUCAAGUUGACUUAAAGCUAGCUGGCACAGCUUUUUUUUUUUUUUGUAUUAUCUUGUUUUUCUGUUUAGUAUAGACUGUAAAUGUAACCAUAAUAAACUGACCUCUUCAGAGAGUCAAAUAAAUCUCUUUCCUAAAAGAA